rnacentral:rRNA from 1 species
GUACCGCGGCUGCUGGCACGAAGUUAGCCGGUGCUUAUUCUGUUGGUAACGUCAAAACAGCAAGGUAUUAACUUACUGCCCUUCCUCCCAACUUAAAGUGCUUUACAAUCCGAAGACCUUCUUCACACACGCGGCAUGGCUGGAUCAGGCUUUCGCCCAUUGUCCAAUAUUCCCCACUGCUGCCUCCCGUAGGAGUCUGGACCG